rfam:Burkholderia sp. AD24 chromosome II sequence.
GGUCAAGCGAACAAGUGCAUGUGGUGGAUGCCUUGGCGAUCACAGGCGAUGAAGGACGCGGUAGCCUGCGAAAAGCUACGGGGAGCUGGCAAACGAGCUUUGAUCCGUAGAUGUCCGAAUGGGGAAACCCACUCCGAAUGGAGUAUCCAUGACUGAAUACAUAGGUCAUGUGAAGCGAACGCGGUGAACUGAAACAUCUAAGUAACCGCAGGAAAAGAAAUCAACCGAGAUUCCCAGAGUAGUGGCGAGCGAAAUGGGAUCAGCCUGUACUCUUUAUCUUCAUUGUUAGUCGAAGGCUCUGGAAAGUGCCGCCAUAGCAGGUGAUAGCCCUGUAGACGAAAACAGCGAGGAAGAACUAGGUGUACGACAAGUAGGGCGGGACACGUGAAAUCCUGUCUGAAGAUGGGGGGACCAUCCUCCAAGGCUAAAUACUCGUGAUCGACCGAUAGUGAACCAGUACCGUGAGGGAAAGGCGAAAAGAACCCCGGGAGGGGAGUGAAAUAGAUCCUGAAACCGCAUGCAUACAAACAGUAGGAGCCUCGCAAGGGGUGACUGCGUACCUUUUGUAUAAUGGGUCAGCGACUUACAUUCAGUGGCAAGCUUAACCGAUUAGGGCAGGCGUAGCGAAAGCGAGUCCGAACAGGGCGAUUCAGUCGCUGGGUGUAGACCCGAAACCAGGUGAUCUAUCCAUGGCCAGGAUGAAGGUGCGGUAACACGUACUGGAGGUCCGAACCCACUAACGUUGAAAAGUUAGGGGAUGAGCUGUGGAUAGGGGUGAAAGGCUAAACAAACCUGGAAAUAGCUGGUUCUCUCCGAAAACUAUUUAGGUAGUGCCUCGUGUAUCACCUUCGGGGGUAGAGCACUGUCAUGGUUGUGGGGUCCAUUGCGGAUUACUACGCCAUAGCAAACUCCGAAUACCGAAGAGUGCAAUCACGGGAGACAGACAUCGGGUGCUAACGUCCGGUGUCAAGAGGGAAACAACCCAGACCGCCAGCUAAGGUCCCCAAAUAUUGCUAAGUGGGAAACGAAGUGGGAAGGCUAAAACAGUCAGGAGGUUGGCUUAGAAGCAGCCAUCCUUUAAAGAAAGCGUAAUAGCUCACUGAUCGAGUCGUCCUGCGCGGAAGAUGUAACGGGGCUAAGCAAUAUACCGAAGCUGCGGAUGCACAUUUAUGUGCAUGGUAGGAGAGCGUUCCGUAAGCCUGCGAAGGUGCACUGGAAAGUGUGCUGGAGGUAUCGGAAGUGCGAAUGCUGACAUGAGUAGCGAUAAAGGGGGUGAAAAGCCCCCUCGCCGUAAGCCCAAGGUUUCCUACGCAACGUUCAUCGGCGUAGGGUGAGUCGGCCCCUAAGGCGAGGCAGAAAUGCGUAGCUGAUGGGAAGCAGGUUAAUAUUCCUGCACCAUUGUUAAAUGCGAUGGGGGGACGGAUCGCGGAAGGUUGUCCGGGUGUUGGAAGUCCCGGUCCUUGCAUUGGAGAAGGCGCUUAGGCAAAUCCGGGCGCGGAAUUCAAGGGUGCGAGGCCAUUCACUUCGGUGAAGAAGCAAUCGGAAGUGGUUCCAAGAAAAGCCUCUAAGCUUCAGUUUAACAAGACCGUACCGCAAACCGACACAGGUGGGCGAGAUGAGUAUUCUAAGGCGCUUGAGAGAACUCGGGAGAAGGAACUCGGCAAAUUGGUACCGUAACUUCGGGAUAAGGUACGCCCCUGUAGCUUGACUGGCUCGCGCCAGAAGGGUGAAGGGGUUGCAAUAAACUGGUGGCUGCGACUGUUUAAUAAAAACACAGCACUCUGCAAACACGAAAGUGGACGUAUAGGGUGUGACGCCUGCCCGGUGCCGGAAGAUUAAAUGAUGGGGUGCAAGCUCUUGAUUGAAGUCCCGGUAAACGGCGGCCGUAACUAUAACGGUCCUAAGGUAGCGAAAUUCCUUGUCGGGUAAGUUCCGACCUGCACGAAUGGCGUAACGAUGGCCACACUGUCUCCUCCCGAGACUCAGCGAAGUUGAAGUGUUUGUGAUGAUGCAAUCUCCCCGCGGCUAGACGGAAAGACCCCAUGAACCUUUACUGUAGCUUUGCAUUGGACUUUGAACCGAUCUGUGUAGGAUAGGUGGGAGGCUAUGAAGCGUGGACGCCAGUCUGCGUGGAGCCGUCCUUGAAAUACCACCCUGGUUUGUUUGAGGUUCUAACCUUGGUCCGUAAUCCGGAUCGGGGACAGUGCAUGGUAGGCAGUUUGACUGGGGCGGUCUCCUCCCAAAGUGUAACGGAGGAGUACGAAGGUACGCUAGGUACGGUCGGAAAUCGUGCUGAUAGUGCAAUGGCAUAAGCGUGCUUAACUGCGAGACCGACAAGUCGAGCAGGUGCGAAAGCAGGUCAUAGUGAUCCGGUGGUUCUGUAUGGAAGGGCCAUCGCUCAACGGAUAAAAGGUACUCUGGGGAUAACAGGCUGAUACCGCCCAAGAGUUCAUAUCGACGGCGGUGUUUGGCACCUCGAUGUCGGCUCAUCUCAUCCUGGGGCUGUAGCCGGUCCCAAGGGUAUGGCUGUUCGCCAUUUAAAGAGGUACGUGAGCUGGGUUUAAAACGUCGUGAGACAGUUUGGUCCCUAUCUGCCGUGGGCGCUGGAUAUUUGAAGGGGGCUGCUCCUAGUACGAGAGGACCGGAGUGGACGAACCUCUGGUGUACCGGUUGUCACGCCAGUGGCAUCGCCGGGUAGCUAUGUUCGGAAGAGAUAACCGCUGAAAGCAUCUAAGCGGGAAACUCGCCUUAAGAUGAGAUAUCCCCGGGGCUUCGAGCCCCUUGAAGGGUCGUUCAAGACCAGGACGUUGAUAGGUCAGGUGUGGAAGCGCAGUAAUGCGUUAAGCUAACUGAUACUAAUUGCCCGUAAGGCUUGAUCCU